CUCUCCUCAGGUGGGCGCGCGCGUGUGUGCUGGAAAAGGGCGGGAAGAAUGCUGUGAGGGAGCGAAGGGUGCUCCGCCUUGGGGAAUUCGGGUAUUAGGGAUUUCAAGUACGCUCCGACAAAUUCAAAAAAAUAGAUAUUUAUUUGGAAAGCUUGCAUUCAACACCAAUGAAAAAAACUUCAGAAAGCAAACUCUCAAAGCGUAAUAGAGAAGAAAGGAAAGCAAGAGAAUGACCUGAUGCAGUUUCCCUUGAACAAUGAGCUGCUGGUUGACCUAAUGUACUUUCUGAUGAGGAAUAAGGGAAUUCAUAGUCUUCGUUUUCUCUACGUAUACGUCAAUGUGCAGGGCAAGCAUGAAAAAUAGCUUGUGCCAUCUCUGUUGCUUCCCAUAGGAGAGAAGAGGAUAUAAGGUAAUACCAUGCAGCAGCAUGAAAAUCUUCUGCUAUUGCACAAACAUCGUGUGUGCAAUGAUAAUGCAGUCAGAAGAUCCGGCACCUUCUCAUUAGCUGGGCUUAUCUUGGAAGCUGUUGCUAUCAAGCCAUAUUACCAUACCUACGUGUAUGGGAUCUGUUAGGUCACAGCCUGAACCAGUGAUUGAGCACCUGGUGGAGGGCACGGCCAGCCCUGGGAGCACAGGUGCAAGCAGUUCUGUGUGACUGGAAGGGGUGGACCCAUUGCCCACUGCUCCCUAACCUCAUUUAAGGACUGGCAGCUGGAAGGGAAGCAUCUUUAUUUAGAGACUGUUUCUUCUGGGAGUUUUCUGUUGGGCCCUCAUCCUUGGAAAUGGGUAAGUUACUUUUUCUUUAUUGUUGAACUGUGACAGAUAACUUUUUUGGGUGGUCUGAGAACUGGUCGGUGGCAGCUAUGUUCUCUGCUUUAUACCCUGUGCUGUGAAAUUGUUUAUCUAUCAGUGAAACUCUGUAAGGAUACAGUUUCAACCUACCAGUAUUAAAGUUAGGGAGAGAGCUGGCUGUAAGCGCUUUCUUAAUGGUUUUUUUUUUUUUUUGCUUGUUCUUCUUUCUUGGUUUCCUUAAUAAUGAAGCAUUCCAUACUGUUUCUAUGUUUUUUUUUGUUGUUGGUGGUGGUGUUUGCCUUUCAUCCUUUCUGUUCUGGCAGUUCUGCUGAAGUAAAUACUGACUUCAAAUAUCAAAUGUGUAGCUUACAUUGAUUUUCGUCCCCAGUGCACUUAAAUCUAAGUGAGGGUAGAAAAGCUUUGCAUGGGCAGAGAACUUGUGCUGCUUUCCUCUUUCUCUGUAAGACUGAUGAUGUUGUCUGUUCAGCCAUGCUUAUGCUGAUCCUUACAAAUCCAUGCUGUGUUCUUUCUA
rnacentral:lncRNA from 1 species